AUCCUGGCUCAGAUUGAACGCUGGCGGCAUGCCUUACACAUGCAAGUCGAACGGCAGGCACGGACUUCGGUCUGGUGGCGAGUGGCGAACGGUGAGUAAUGUAUCGGAACGUACUUUCAGUGGGGAUAACGUAGCGAAAGUUACGCUAAUACCGCAUAUUCUGUGAGCAGGAAAGCAGGGGAUCGCAAGACCUUGCGCUGAUUGAGCGGCCGAUAUCAGAUUAGCUAGUUGGUGAGGUAAAGGCUCACUAAGGCGACGAUCUGUAGCGGGUCUGAGAGGAUGAUCCGCCACACUGGAACUGAGACACGGUCCAGACUCCUACGGGAGGCAGCAGUGGGGAAUUUUGGACAAUGGGGGCAACCCUGAUCCAGCCAUGCCGCGUGAGUGAAGAAGGCCUUCGGGUUGUAAAGCUCUUUCGGCCGGGAAGAAAUCGCAUGGGCUAAUACCCUGUGCGGAUGACGGUACCGGCAUAAGAAGCACCGGCUAACUACGUG
rnacentral:rRNA from 1 species